rnacentral:rRNA from 1 species
UACGUAGGGGGCAAGCGUUGUCCGGAAUCAUUGGGCGUAAAGAGCGUGUAGGCGGCUCGGUAAGUCCGCUGUGAAAGUCCAGGGCUCAACCCUGGAAUGCCGGUGGAAACUGUCGAGCUAGAGUCCGGAAGAGGCGAGUGGAAUUCCUGGUGUAGCGGUGAAAUGCGCAGAUAUCAGGAGGAACACCAAUUGCGAAGGCAGCUCGCUGGGACGUUACUGACGCUGAGACGCGAAAGCGUGGGGAGCAAACAGG